CUUUCUUCUGUCUCUCCCCCCACCCCCCACCCCACCAAGCUAGCCAAAAAUGAAGAUUUCAGCAAGAACAAGAAGAAGAUGAAGCUCGGUUUUCAUGGCAAUGGAAGGAGACGUCCAAAGGGAUCGCAUUGAUCCCAUUUCACUUUCAAACCAAUAUAUACACACACACACACAUAUAUAUAUAUAGACACAGAGAGAGAGAGAACUGCGGAUCAUGCUAUCCCUCUGGACAUCUCCUUCGUUAGCUUCCAAUAUCCGAAGAUCUGAUUCUAGAUAACAUCGUACGCCGCCGAUGUUUACCAAGAACAACAACAAGUCACAUUGUGAAUCCCAUUGCAAGUAUACUGUGAAGUUGAGGUUGGUCGUCCACAAAUCUAAAUCCCUGCGAAUCUCAUUGAAAGCAUCUUGUGAUGUUGAGGUUGGUCGACCCUGAGUUUAAUUGAGGUAGCAUGUUGUGCAGUUGAGAUCUUGGUGCAAGGUGCAAGAGGGGCUAGUGCAAGUAGCAAUUUUUGAGAUCAUGGUGGAUCUGUUGAAGAUCAUUAAAGUAGGAUUCUAAGGCUUGCCCUACCUCUUCUAUAUGUUUCCCUAAUGAAGGGAGAGAUAAAUAAUAGUAAUAGUAAUAAUUAAUGUUAAUUGCA